UGAGGAAUAUUGGACAAUGGGCGCAAGCCUGAUCCAGCCAUGCCGCGUGCAGGAUGACGGUCCUAUGGAUUGUAAACUGCUUUUGCACAGGAAGAAACAACUCUACGUGUAGAGUCUUGACGGUACUGUGAGAAUAAGGAUCGGCUAACUCCGUGCCAGCAGCCGCGGUAAUACGGAGGAUCCAAGCGUUAUCCGGAAUCAUUGGGUUUAAAGGGUCCGUAGGCGGUCUUAUAAGUCAGUGGUGAAAUCUCCCCGCUCAACGGGGAAACGGCCAUUGAUACUGUAGGACUUGAAUUAUUAGGAAGUAACUAGAAUAUGUAGUGUAGCGGUGAAAUGCUUAGAGAUUACAUGGAAUACCAAUUGCGAAGGCAGGUUACUACUAAUGGAUUGACGCUGAUGGACGAAAGCGUGGGUAGCGAACAGGAUUAGAUACCCUGGUAGUCCACGCCGUAAACGAUGGAUACUAGCUGUUGGGAGCAAUCUCAGUGGCUAAGCGAAAGUGAUAAGUAUCCCACCUGGGGAGUACGUUCGCAAGAAUG
rnacentral:rRNA from 1 species